UAGUCUCGCACAGAUGCAUAUCAAUAAGCGGAGGAAAAGAAACUAACAAGGAUUCCCUUAGUAACGGCGAGUGAAGCGGGAAGAGCUCAAAUUUGAAAUCUUCAAGGUUUUACCUUGACGAAUUGUAGUUUAAAGAAGUGUUUUCUGUUGAAGUUUUGGUAAAAGUUCUUUGGAAUAGGACAUCAUAGAGGGUGAGAAUCCCGUAUUUGACCAUUAUUUUCAGCUGUGUGAUACACUUUCAAAGAGUCGGAUUGUUUGGGAAUGCAGUCCAAAAUGGGUGGUAAAUUUCAUCUAAAGCUAAAUAUUGGCGAGAGACCGAUAGCGAACAAGUACCGUGAGGGAAAGAUGAAAAGAACUUUGAAAGAGAGUUAAACAGUACGUGAAAUUGUCAAAAGGGAAGCGUUUGACACCAGUGUUGUUUUCUCGAAAAUCAAUUAAAAAGAGUUUAGAUUUUGUUGUGUAUUGACCUUAACAGCUUGCAUUUCAAUUUUCUUGCUUUUUUUAAUGCACUUUUCGUUUAACAAGUCAACAUCAGUUUCUUUUGUUGUAAAAAGGUCAUUGGAAGGUGGCUUUCUUUUCGGAGAAAGUGUUUAUAGCCUUUGACUCCUGCAAUCGGAGAGACUGAGGUCUGCAGCGUAGAUCCUUCGGGGUUAGAUACAUUUGUGCUAAGUUAUAGCUUUUUAUAGACAACUUGUUGACUAUGAUUGGUCUUGUAGCUUACUCGCUUAUGCUAUUUUACCUACGCUUAGGAUGUUGAGCGCAUGUCUCUCUCU
rnacentral:rRNA from 1 species